GGGGUCCUGGCUCAGAGGUAGAGCACUUGCCUAGUGUGUGAGGAACUGGGGUUCGAUCCUCAGCACCACA
rnacentral:tRNA from 1 species